GUAUAGUCCGACAAUUCUGUCACCAUUGAACUGAUGUCGGGCUCAUCUACCAGCUCCUCGAGCUCCCGCUCCAAGUCCAUGGGUUCAGGCUUCGGUAUGACAGGGUUCUUUCUAGGCCUGCCCCUGGGUGCCGGUACUUUGACCACUAAUGCCGGUGGCGGUGGCAUCGCCGAUUGCUUCGCCUUGGCUGCAGCUGCUCGGGCUGGUCGAACGCUAAUUGCCUUGGGUUCUGGGGGAGGCUUCGAAGUAGUCGCUUUCGGUGUCGAUUUGGCUGGCCGCAAAUUGAUGGCUUAAAAAGAGUCGAGCAAGUGAUACAAAUGCACGCACAUAUAUGGCAAAGGGUAACUCACAUUUAUUGGUGGCUGUACUGACCACGGAACGUGUAGCUUUCCCCGGCUUGGCAGCCGCCUGUUUGAGCUUCUUUUGUAGCUCCUUUUGCUUCUUGGGCGUAGUCUUGAUAUAGCAGUUGCCCUCGUCAUCUAUGAAAUACUUAUCCUCGUCGUCCUCCUCCUCCUCCUCCGCUUCCUCCGCAUGAUCCAAAUCAGCCUCCGCCUCCUCCAUCGGUUUCGAUCCACCAGCCUCCGCACCAUUUUCAUCCAAGUCGAUGGCCUCGGCGCUGAUGGCCUCCAAAAUCGUGUUUACCACCUUCUCAUCGCUGUUGCCUUCGAUCUCCUUAUGGAAAUUGUUGAGGAAGGUCUGCAGAUCCUCGGGGUCCUCGUCCUUUUUUGUCCUCCUUGGCAUUCCUAUGGACAAAUUGGAUUUGUUUUGGUGGCGACCCACAGCGGAUGACCGGGAUCCCGAAGAGGGCGCUUAUCGAUUUCUCGCAACGACCAAUUGUAAUCCCGCUUGAUUCAAUUCACCUACCGACACUUGGUUGCCAAU
ensembl:ncRNA asRNA:CR45822 antisense RNA:CR45822